UAUCUUGUGCUUUCCUAACGAAGGUUGCAAGCCAAGAGCUACCAAGAAUAGCACAGUACGUAGUACUCUCGCUGCAAGCUAGCAGCAGGACGCGCGCCAUGGCCGCCAAGCACCAGUUCCGCAUUGCAGUUGUGCACCUCCUGCUCCUGGCACUACUGAUCUCCCUGCUCGCGCCGACCUCCGGCAGAUGAACCGGCGGCAAUGGAUGUACGUUGACCGACGCCUACCCAAGUUUACUUCGGGCUUGGAUUAUUUUAUCCGUGUGGCUACGGAAAACCCACAGGCGGAUGGUUUUAUAUGUUGUCCAUGUAUUAGUUGCCGGAACUUAACGCAAUACCCUGACCGGCAAGUCAUUCACUCCCACCUGCUUUGGAAAGGUUUCAUGCCCAACUAUAAUUGUUGGAUCAAUCAUACGUCUCCAACGUACCUAUAAUUUCUGAUGUUCCAUGCUUGUUUUAUGACAAUACUUACAUGUUUUGCUUGCACUUUAUAAUGUUUUUAUGCGUUUUCUGGAACUAACCUAUUAACAAGAUGUCGAAGUACCAGUUCCUGUUUUCUGUUGUUUUUGGUUCCAGAAAGACUGUUCGGGCAAUAUUCUCGGAAUUCGACGAAACGAAGACCCAACAUCUUAUUUUUCCCGGAAGCAUCCAGAACACCGAAGGAGAGUCGGAGAGGAGCCAGGGGGCCACCACACAACAUGGCGGCGCGGCCCCAGGCCUGGCCGCGCCGGCCUAGUGUGAGGGGGGCCCAGGCACCCUCCUGCGCCGCCUCUUCGCCUAUUUAAGCCCUUUCGACCUAAAAACGCGAUACGGAUGGACGAAACUCCAGAAAGACUCCAGGGGCGCCGCCGCCAUCGCGAAACUCCAAUUCGGGGGACAGAAGUCUCUGUUCCGGCACCCUGCCAGGACGGGGAAGUGCCCCCGGAAGCCAUCUCCAUCAACGCCACCGCCUCCAUCAUGCUCCGUGAGUAGUUCCCCCAUGGACUACGGGUUCUAGCUGUAGCUAGUUGGUAUUCUCUCCCCAUGUACUUCAAUACAAUGAUCUCAUGAGCUGCAUUACAUGAUUGAGAUUCAUCUGAUGUAAUCGGUGUUGUGUUUGUUGGGAUCCGAUGAAUUGUUACAAUAUCAUCAGUCUAUCUAUAUAAGGUUGUGAAGUUAUUGUUGCUGCAA